rnacentral:rRNA from 1 species
GACGAACGCUGGCGGCGUGCUUAACACAUGCAAGUCGAACGGAAAGGCCCUGCUUUUGUGGGGUGCUCGAGUGGCGAACGGGUGAGUAACACGUGAGUAACCUGCCCUUGACUUUGGGAUAACUUCAGGAAACUGGGGCUAAUACCGGAUAGGAGCUCCUGCUGCAUGGUGGGGGUUGGAAAGUUUCGGCGGUUGGGGAUGGACUCGCGGCUUAUCAGCUUGUUGGUGGGGUAGUGGCUUACCAAGGCUUUGACGGGUAGCCGGCCUGAGAGGGUGACCGGCCACAAUGGGACUGAGGUACGGCCCAGACUCCUACGGGAGGCAGCAGUGGGGAAUAUUGCACAAUGGGCGGAAGCCUGAUGCAGCAACGCCGCGGGCGGGAUGACGGCCUUCGGGUUGUAAACCGCUUUCGCCUGUGACGAAGCGUGAGUGACGGUAAUGGGUAAAGAAGCACCGGCUAACUACGUG